GAUGAACGCUGGCGGCGUGCCUAAUACAUGCAAGUCGAGCGAACAGACGAGGAGCUUGCUCCUCUGACGUUAGCGGCGGACGGGUGAGUAACACGUGGAUAACCUACCUAUAAGACUGGGAUAACUUCGGGAAACCGGAGCUAAUACCGGAUAAUAUAUUGAACCGCAUGGUUCAAUAGUGAAAGACGGUUUUGCUGUGACUUAUAGAUGGAUCCGCGCCGCAUUAGCUAGUUGGUAAGGUAACGGCUUACCAAGGCAACGAUGCGUAGCCGACCUGAGAGGGUGAUCGGCCACACUGGAACUGAGACACGGUCCAGACUCCGACGGGAGGCAGCAGUAGGGAAUCUUCCGCAAUGGGCGAAAGCCUAACGGAGCAACGCCGCGUGAGUGAUGAAGGUCUUCGGAUCGUAAAGCUCUGUUAUUAGGAAAGAACAAAUGUGUAAGUAACUAUGCACGUCUUGACGGUACCUAAUCAGAAAGCCACGGCUAACUACGUG
rnacentral:rRNA from 1 species